rnacentral:lncRNA from 1 species
UCUUUUGGAUUCUUCUAGAGCUUAGGAUUUCAUAUUAUUUUCAGCAUAAAAAAUUAGAUUAGAUCUAAUUUUUAUCAUAAAAAAUUAGAAAAAAAAAUUCUUAAAGGUGUGAAAGGAACAGAGAAAGAUUCUCUUUUGUGCAUGGGAGAAUUGAGAAGAAAAGAUUCUUCUCUUGAUCUCUAUCAUAGAGAUCUAAUACGUGGAUCUAGAAAGAAUAGGAUAGGAUCUUCUUAUUAUUCAUCUUCUUCAUAUUUUUCUUAGAUCCACCAACAACAUGAUAUCUUUGCGAGCUAGUACUCCCGAAAAGAUCGAUCAGCAUAAGGACUUUGUGUGGAUUCGCAUAG